rnacentral:rRNA from 1 species
UACGGAGGGUGCAAGCGUUAUCCGGAUUCACUGGGUUUAAAGGGUGCGUAGGUGGGCUGGUAAGUCAGUGGUGAAAUCUCCAGGCUUAACUUGGAAACUGCCAUUGAUACUAUCAGUCUUGAAUACCGUGGAGGUCAGCGGAAUAUGUCAUGUAGCGGUGAAAUGCUUAGAUAUGACAUAGAACACCAAAUUGCGAAGGCAGCUGGCUACACGAAUAUUGACACUGAUGCACGAAAGCGUGGGGAUCAAACAGG